CGUUCCGUUACAGGAAAAUAAUCAGUCACAGGGCGGAGUUAUCGAACCGACUCCGCCCAGAAACGUAUUGUUUUCUCACACGUCUUACUUUUUAUCCGUUUAUAUUCACAGCCUUACCUCUGAAUGUCGCAAAGCGCUGACACUGGAGACUCCUUCCACAAACCUUAAAUAAUCUUUUCCUCACAGAAAUAAUCUUCAGAAUAAUCUUCACCAUAUUAAUGAUUACUCACGUUUAAAUACUCUUUUUUUUUUAUAUAUUUUAUUUUUAUGUUUAUGUGGCGCAUCUCCCCUGUAAUAAGUUGUUACUAUAGAAACGAUGACAUCGCCAUACCAUUUAAUGCUGGGGAAGGUACACGAAGCGACGCCAUAACGAGUCCCUGUUGAACGAGGUGUUACUAUGGAAACGAUAACCGCGUCAGAACAAACACAUGACCGUAAACCUGUGAUUUUCAUCAUUAGAGCCGCUGUUAUUUAAAAAUGAAAUGAUACAAAAAUCGACCAAUCAGAAGCGAGAAUUCAACACCACUGUGGUAUAACUUUGUGUAAGCAUGUUGCGUUAAACCGUUUACAGCAUCGUUACACAUGUACACACUUUUAUGCGACUCAUGAAGCGAGAUCUCAACUCGUUCUUUCUUUCUUUCUUUCCUCAGUCACAGAUAAGAUCUCUCUCUCUCUCUCUCUCACUCUCACUCUCUCUCUGAGAGACAUUAAGGCUGUAAGCUAAGGGAGGAGAUGAAGAAUAUCAUGUACUCUUGAGCUCGAUGUGUUUUUCUCGCUCCCUCCCUCCUGCCCAUCAGACGGGUAACAAAUGCAGCAGUGCCGCCAUAAAGAAUAAAGAGAGGAGGAGGAGACGAGGCCGAGAGGGCAACAUUCGUCUGACGGCGACCUCAGACGACGUGGGGAAGAGCUUAAGCUCUCUCCUGGACUCUCCGUCUGUCUCGGUCUCGAAGCCGACAGAAAGAGAGGAGGAGAUGAGCUGGAUUUGGGGUUUUUGUGAUACACGGAUGUCGUAUCAUCAGAUAAUAAAGUGUAUGGCAGAGUCUGCUAAGUGAAUUUCGUUAAAGUUAUGUUUCAUGAAAGCUUGAAAGAGAGAAAAAAAAAACCCAGUUUGAUCUCAAGCUACAAAAAAAAAAAAUCAUGAAUUUCUGAAUCAUAUUUGUUAACUGAAGUUCUCGAAUCUCGAUUCUGAUUGGCCGGAAAGUGUUGAUUCAUGUCCUAGAAGAGCAGCUCUGACACUAGUUCUGGCUGUAGUGCAAACCCCAGAUUUAUAAGAAUGUACUCUUUAAUACCUUAUCGUUUCUAUAGUAACAGCUUACAUCUAAUGAACAGAUUUAAAAACGUGAUGUUGUUCAACAGGCGGGGAAACAGAGUCUAAUCAUCAAUGGUGAAGUUUUCUGUUCAUGGAAGGAGUCUCCAGUGUCAACGGUGUUAUUUAAGGAUACGCAGUGGCAGGAGUGUGUGAUGGAGGAUAGUCGGCGGAGCAGAUAAGCAGCGCAGGCAGUCCGUCUUCGCACGAGUGCCUGCGUCCAACUUCAACAAAACGGGGUCAAACCUUGAUUUAAUGUGGAUCGGGGUUUAUAGGGGCCACACCGAGUGAGCGAGCUCCAAGCGUUCAGUAUGCGGACGCUGUGAGAUAAACGCCUUAAACGUCUCCGGUUUCUGUGCUCGGCAUGUAGCGCCAUAACCCAAGAUGGAGGCGUAACGUGAUCUUAUUGAAACCAUAAUACAUGCCAAGGACAAACGUUAAAACGGUAGUUUAUACGCUGCAGCUGAACAAGUGGUGCGAGGAGUGCCGUGUGUGUGUGUGUGUGUGUGCGCACGCACGUGCGUGUGUGCGUGUUUGCAUGUUUGUACACGUGUGAAUGAACCGAAACAGAAAUGAACACGUUCAGAUGAACGUUUUUUUUAAUACGGUAAAAAAAAAAAAAGAAGAAGAAGAAAAUAAGAACAAAGAAGUCCUUCAUGAACGACUGUAUACGAUGCG
ensembl:lncRNA